rnacentral:rRNA from 1 species
UACGGAGGGUGCAAGCGUUGCUCGGAAUUAUUGGGCGUAAAGGGUAGGUAGGUGGUCUCAUUUGUCUGGGGUGAAAGCCUUGAGCUUAACUCAAGAAGUGCCCCAGAAACGGUGAGACUAGAGUCUUGGAGAGGGUCGUGGAAUUCCCGGUGUAGCGGUGAAAUGCGUAGAUAUCAGGGGGAACACCGGUGGCGAAGGCGGGUCUCUGGGCAAUAACUGACGCUGAGGAGCGAAAGCGUGGGGAGCGAACAGG